rnacentral:lncRNA from 1 species
GUGGGCUAUGGGGUCAGUUAUGGGGUGGGCUAUGUGGUGGGCUAUGGGGUCAGUUAUGGGGUGGGCUAUGGGGUCGGUUAUGGGGUGGGCUAUGGGGUGGGUUAUGGGGUGGGUUAUGGGGUGGCGCCGCAUGCAGACGUGGGGCGGCCAUUGAAUCCCUUUAUUGCAGUGCACCCCGCGGUGCUCCGUGGUACAAAACGGCCCCCCCAAAUCCCCCCCCACCCCAACACCUUCUGAACCCCACCCCAAAAAUAGGACCCCCACCCCCCCCCCCACAUCCGGGGACCCCCAUCGGAACCCCCCCCGUAUGAAGGGGGGAGCGAUGGGGGGGUCAAUGUUGGGGGGCGAUGGGGGGGGUCAAUGGGGGUCAAUGGGGGUUAAUGGGGGGUCAUUGGGGGGGGGGUCAAUGUGGGGGGGUCAAUGGGUGUUAAUGGGGGUCAAUGGGGGUUAAUGG